ACUCAAAUGAAUUGACGGGGACCCGCACAAGCAGCGGAGCAUGUGGUUUAAUUCGAAGCAACGCGAAGAACCUUACCAGGGCUUGACAUCCCCCUGACGGGCAUAUAACGGUGCCGUCCUUCGGGCAGGGGAGACAGGUGGUGCAUGGUUGUCGUCAGCUCGUGUCGUGAGAUGUUGGGUUAAGUCCCGCAACGAGCGCAACCCUUGUCAUUAGUUGCCAUCAUUAAGUUGGGCACUCUAGUGAGACUGCCGGGGAUAACUCGGAGGAAGGUGGGGACGACGUCAAAUCAUCAUGCCCCUUAUGUUCUGGGCUACACACGUGCUACAAUGGCCGGUACAACAAGCAGCAAAACCGCGAGGUAGAGCAAACCUCAAAAACCGGCCCCAGUUCGGAUUGCAGGCUGCAACUCGCCUGCAUGAAGUCGGAGUUGCUAGUAAUCGCAGAUCAGAAUGCUGCGGUGAAUGCGUUCCCGGGUCUUGCACACACCGCCCGU
rnacentral:rRNA from 1 species